rnacentral:rRNA from 1 species
CAGCCGCCGCGGUAAUACGGAGGGAGCUAGCGUUGUUCGGAAUUACUGGGCGUAGAGCGCACGUAGGCGGUUAUUCAAGUCAGAGGUGAAAGCCCGGGGCUCAACCCCGGAACUGCCUUUGAAACUAGAUGACUAGAAUCUUGGAGAGGUCAGUGGAAUUCCGAGUGUAGAGGUGAAAUUCGUAGUUAUUCGGAAGAACACCAGUGGCGAAGGCGACUGACUGGACAAGUAUUGACGCUGAGGUGCGAAAGCGUGGGGAGCAAACAGGAUUAGAGACCCCCGUAGUCCCUGUCUCUUAUAC